AUGUCUAUUGAACACAAAACAAGAAUAUUCCCGAGGACCAGGGGUACUUCAAAUACAGCGAGUGAACACUGAGACUGAUGCCCAGCAAUCCUUUUUGACUCUACAGCCAGUGGUCAUGCUUCCUACUGAAGUGAAGAGAAAUUUUUGUUGCUAGUGUCCCACAACAGGAACGCAACAGAAUCUUCCAAUGCAUGCCUAGUCAAUACUUAUUCAAUGGAAUGGAGGUGUAAUUGAUAAAGGGGCAUCGGCAUCAUGGUUCAGGUGGGACAGGAUGGCUAGAGUGGGCUGCCGCUGGGUACUUCCCCUCCCCCAUGUGGAAGGCUAGAGCUGACUGGAGUAUUUCCCUUCCCUCCAGGUCCGGUUUUCCUACCCUGACGCUGGUUCCUGAGGUCAUUUCGGCUAAGUGCGUUUCUGCUCUGAUGCUACCUAAUUUAUGACAUUACACAAACUGUAUUUCCUCAUGACAACAAAUUGAGACUUACUGUUAUCGGAGUGCGAAGUACAGAAGAGAUCCCCUGCUGGAGAC